rnacentral:rRNA from 1 species
AUGCUCCUCCUUGAGGUCCAUCUCGACGAUCUCACCGAGGACGACAUCCUUUGGAAACAUACGGCAAGUGGGCAAUACUCGGCGGCCUCUGCAUACAAGGCGCAAUACCUAGGGAUGGUCCUCUCACCCAUGGAUAAGAUGGUUUGGAAGGCUUGGGCACCUUUAAAAAUCAAAUUCUUUGCUUGGUUGGCGCUCCAAGAUAGAAUUUGGACCGCCGAUAGGUUGGCAAAGCGUGGGUGGCCAAAUUAUGAUCUUUGCCCUUUUUGCAAGAGGGUGCAAGAAUGCGGACCUCACCUCUUCUACAAAUGCCGCUAUACUCGAAGGCUUUGGUCAUUGGUCAUCGAGAAAUUACUCAUUCUCGGUCUAGACACUUUCGCUUGGCCCUUCUUUGACUCGGUUAAAGAUUGGUGGGCGAGUACUUGCACCGACGGCACGCCAAACCGACAAGCCAAGGCAUCGCUCACCAUGCUUGUGUCAUGGACAAUUUGAAACGAGCGUAACGCAAGAGUUUUCAAACAUAAGAGUGCUCCACCGACAAUCUUGCUCUCCUCCAUCUCUACUGAGGCCAACCUUUGA